rnacentral:rRNA from 1 species
UACGGAGGGUGCGAGCGUUGUCCGGAAUCACUGGGCGUAAAGGGCGCGUAGGCGGCCUGAUAAGUAGGGGGUGAAAUCUUGCGGCUUAACCGCAAGGCUGCCUUCUAAACUGUCGGGCUCGAGCACAGUAGAGGCAGGUGGAAUUCCCGGUGUAGCGGUGGAAUGCGUAGAGAUCGGGAAGAACAUCAGUGGCGAAGGCGGCCUGCUGGGCUGUUGUUGACGCUGAGGCGCGACAGCGUGGGGGGCAAACAGG